rnacentral:rRNA from 1 species
GGGUGGCCCUAAUACAUGCAGUCGAGCGAAUGGAUUGAGAGCUUGCUCUCAAGAAGUUAGCGGCGGACGGGUGAGUAACACGUGGGUAACCUGCCCAUAAGACUGGGAUAACUCCGGGAAACCGGGGCUAAUACCGGAUAACAUUUUGAACUGCAUGGUUCGAAAUUGAAAGGCGGCUUCGGCUGUCACUUAUGGAUGGACCCGCGUCGCAUUAGCUAGUUGGUGAGGUAACGGCUCACCAAGGCAACGAUGCGUAGCCGACCUGAGAGGGUGAUCGGCCACACUGGGACUGAGACACGGCCCAGACUCCUACGGGAGGCAGCAGUAGGGAAUCUUCCGCAAUGGACGAAAGUCUGACGGAGCAACGCCGCGUGAGUGAUGAAGGCUUUCGGGUCGUAAAACUCUGUUGUUAGGGAAGAACAAGUGCUAGUUGAAUAAGCUGGCACCUUGACGGUACCUAACCAGAAAGCCACGGCUAACUACGUGCCAGCAGCCGCGGUAAUACGUAGGUGGCAAGCGUUAUCCGGAAUUAUUGGGCGUAAAGCGCGCGCAGGUGGUUUCUUAAGUCUGAUGUGAAAGCCCACGGCUCAACCGUGGAGGGUCAUUGGAAACUGGGAGACUUGAGUGCAGAAGAGGAAAGUGGAAUUCCAUGUGUAGCGGUGAAAUGCGUAGAGAUAUGGAGGAACACCAGUGGCGAAGGCGACUUUCUG